rnacentral:rRNA from 1 species
AAUCCAUAGGUUAAUGAGGCGAACCGGGGGAACUGAAACAUCUAAGUACCCCGAGGAAAAGAAAUCAACCGAGAUUCCCCCAGUAGCGGCGAGCGAACGGGGAGGAGCCCAGAGCCUGAAUCAGCAUGUGUGUUAGUGGAAGCGUCUGGAAAGGCGCGCGAUACAGGGUGACAGCCCCGUACACAAAAGCGCAUGUGCUGUGAGCUCGAUGAGUAGGGCGGGACACGUGGUAUCCUGUCUGAAUAUGGGGGGACCAUCCUCCAAGGCUAAAUACUCCUGACUGACCGAUAGUGAACCAGUACCGUGAGGGAAAGGCGAAAAGAACCCCGGCGAGGGGAGUGAAAAAGAACCUGAAACCGUGUACGUACAAGCAGUGGGAGCCCCACCACUAAGCCAGUGGUGAACUCCACAUACGCAUCCUUUGCUGAGGAUACGGUUAACGGAGCGAAAGC